GUCUACGGCCAUGCUACCCUGAACAAGCCCAAUCCCAUCUGAUCUCAGAAGCUAAGCAGGCUUGGGCCUGUUUAGUACUUGGAUAGGAGACCACCUAAGAAUACCAGGUGCUGUAGGUG
rnacentral:rRNA from 1 species